GUGAUUUUAAUAUCCAUCAAUUACUAAAGACAUGUAUGACAAAAAGAGUGAAUCAUACAAUGUUGCUAGUGGAGCACUUUUGACUGUGAUGCAUGGUUUUAUUUUCUAUAAUGACAAAAGGAAAUGAAAAUAUUUGGCAAAUAAGGAGAAUUGAAGGGGGAACAUUCAUCUCACAAUAUUUAUAUUCUCUGUGCUAUUUUCAGACUUCAUGUCUUUGUCAUUGGUUCUAGUUUGCUCCAUUAUUAAUACCACCAUCUGUAAGAUUCUAGCUCUCUUGGCAUUUCUUCUGUUCAAGAGUCUUGUGAUCUCAGUCUAUGAAAUAAAAACAAUGGCCAUGGAAUCCUCACAUGGGUUGCUGGUUUCUCAGCAGGGUGCUGGACUCUAAGUGCCAGUCAUCCAGUCAGUAACACUGCUAGACCCUGAUUGCUGAGUUGGCUCUUGAAUGGUCUCUUCAAUGGAGAAGGUAAAUGGUCUUCCUCUAGUUACUUCAUUUGCAGUUAGCUCUAUAACCAAGGGCAAUCCUCCAUUAAGUGUUGGCUAGUUCCUUGACUAGGUGGAAUAGUUAUUUCUUCUGUAAGUAUUGGACUUGGACUUGUGUUUCUCAGGUGGCAAAGUUGGAGAUAGCUCUGGAAAACAAG
rnacentral:lncRNA from 1 species